rnacentral:tRNA from 1 species
GGGCCCGUAGCUCAUCUGGUAGAGCGGUAGAUUUGCAUUCUACAGGUAAGGGGUUCGAGUCCCCUCGGGUCCA